rnacentral:lncRNA from 1 species
UUUCUUUCCCUGGGAGAAGCUGAUUCUCACCGAGUCGCUUCUUGUGAUAGAGCGAGCGAGCGAGCGCACGAGAGAUGUUCGCCACUGUUCGCGUACACCAGGAAUGAUAUCGUUCCCUCAGAUAUUGAAGUGGUGAUUAACAUUUUAGAAGUUACUGGAAUAGUGGAAGUGAUUCGGCGGUUCGGACGCACAAAAGACAGCAGAGAUCUGAGAGGAUUUUUGCCCCCAGCGUCCAGUGGGCUUCGUGUCCGGCUGAUUUUUACAGUACAGUGGCGUGCCAGUGGACACCCCCCACCAAAUAGACCUCCAAUAAAUAAAGGAUACAUUUCAAGAUGUAUCCACAGGGCCGGCAUCCGGCGCCCCACCAGCCUGGUCAGCCAGGC